rnacentral:rRNA from 1 species
CGUGUAGGCGGCCGACUAAGUCUGAUGUGAAAUACCCGCUUUUAAGGUGGGUCGUGCAUUGGAAACUGGAUGGCUAGAGUGCGGAAGAGGUAAGUGGAAUUCCCGGUGUAACGGUGGAAUGUGUAGAUAUCGGGAGGAACACCAGUGGCGAAGGCGGCUUCCUGGCACACAACUGACGCUCAUGUGCGAAAGCCAGGGCAGCAACG